AUGGCUGGUGAAGAGUCCAAAUGCUCAUGGACUUUGAGUCUUACAUGUCUAGAACUUUGUGAUCGAGAAUCAGGAUUCUCUAAUCAUGAGUUCCACACAUUUUGGGUACCGAGAUUAAGAGUCCCACUGGUUUGAAACUUUUUGAUUAGGAUUUCAUAUCGAUGGACUCUGAUGCCCAAUUGCCCAUCGAAUUUGGACUCAGUA
rnacentral:lncRNA from 1 species